rnacentral:rRNA from 1 species
CCAAUAGCGUAUAUUAAAGUUGUUACAGUUAAAAAGCUCGUAGUUGAAUUUUGGGAUCAAUGGGUUGGUCAUGCCCUCGGUAUGUACUGAUUUCAUUGGUUCUCACCUUCUAAGGAACCAUGAUGUCAUUCGUUUGAUGUUGUGGGGAAUUAGGACUGUUACCUUGAAAAAAUUAGAGUGUUUAAAGCAGGCUAACGUUUGAAUACAUUAGCAUGGAAUAAUGAAAUAGGACAUCCGAUUCUAUUUUGUUGGUUUUUAGGAUCGAUGUAAUGAUUAAUAGGGAUAGUUGGAGGCAUUAGUAUUCAAUUGUCAGAGGUGAAAUUCUUGGAUUUAUUGAAGACUAACUACUGCGAAAGCAUUUGCCAAGGAUGUUUUCAUUAAUCAAGAACGAAAGUUAGAGGAUCGAAGACGAUCAGAUACCGUCGUAGUCUUAACCAUAAACUAUGCCGACUAGGGAUCGGAUGAUGCUUAUUUUUUAAUGACUCAUUCGGCACCUUACG